UAAAAGCCUCAUACGCUGAUAAACGGGGCUCUCUUAUCUAUCAGAGGAUAGAGAGACACACGUUCUUCUCUCUCGCAAUGACAGGGACCAGCUGACGGGAGGAAUUCAUCAGGCUACUUGGAUAGUUCUUCAUUUUUGAAUUUUCUUCUUGAAUUGGCUUCCCAUCAAUAGGGAUGCAGGCCUGCUGGUGCCUAUAUCCCAAACUGACUCUGGGUGAGAGGCGGGGUACACCCUGAACUGAUCGCCAGCCAAUCCCAGACUGGUCUGCACCUCGGCCCUUCCUUUGCCCCUGGAAUGCCUGCUGCCUCUUCUACAUACUUGAUUGCGAAGCUGAUUAGUCAGAGCUGCCUGGACUAGAGGGGCCAUCGAAGCGGGAAAUCUUCAAAAUGAAUAAAAGUGUGAGAGCAUCACUGGUUUGUUAUAAACAGAACAAGGUAUCUGAAAAAAGUACAAAAUAACCCCCCAACAAUAGUUGACAAACAUUUCUUAUAUGAAUUCAAACAUCGUAAGCCUACUGGUUCUUGCACUCCAUGUAGAAGUAUCAUCAUCUAUGGAUAAUAAUGUGAUUUCAUUAUGUUUUAUUCCUAUUUCCCUAACUGGACACUUUCUGUAGUGGUAUGAUUUUAUAUUUCCUACAGUAUAUUUCCUACAGUGUAAUGCAAUGCCUCAUAUAACAAACAAACGGAUAUUGUGUCAAUGCAAUAAUAACAAUUUCUAUUCUUUUCCAACUGUUUUCAGACAUUUUCCCCUCAAAACUGCAUCCAAAACGCAGUUGUAUGUUUUUCCACUCCCAAAACGUUUGUGUGCAAUAAUGCCUCUUAAACAACAUGCAUGCAUGUUUACCAAUCCCGCUGUGACAAUAAAUAUAAAUAGUUUUGUGACACCAUAUCAUGGUACAGUAAAUGCUGCUACACAAGCACUCCCAUAGGCAUAGUAAUUAGCACUCUGCUAACAAUUAGCAGGCCUCUUUUGUCUCCCGUUUGUAACAAGCUAACUAAACAUUUAUUUCUGUCACGAAAAAAAUUAAUCAUACAAUAAUUACCUCUUCCAAAGAAUCCAUCUUUCCCCCAACGGCAGUCCUUCAAAACAGAAUAAAAAUGUAGAAUCACACUGUUGCGGAGUGGUGGGGAGGCUUGGAUAGCCUGUCAUAUCGAAGCGACAGCUUGGUUAGUGUAAUGCAGAUUUCCAGCUUAGGGAGCGACAGAAGCUACACACUGCAGGUUUAAUUGUCUGGGUGACCCUAAACAAACUAGUAUAUGUAGUUAUACUAGGGUUGUCCUGAUCCUAAAUUAGGCCUGAUUACAUGAUUUUCAGCAGAUCGGUAUCAGAUGAAAAAAGAUCGGAUUUGUACAUUUUCUUCUUUGUAAAAGGUCACAAAGCGACAAAAUAGGGUACACAUAUACUGCCAAAUUGAACGGCAGUAGCAUAGUUUAAUAUUAUACAAUGUAACGUUUCGUGGUGUGAAAAAAAAAAAGACAAGACGGGAGGCAGAAAAAAAUUCACAUCUGCACAAUUGCUGGGAUGUCCCCUAAAAUCUUCUUUAUUUAAACCAACUUUUUAAGCCUGAGUGUACUGCACCUAUUUGUUAAAAUACGAACCCCAAAAAAGGAGACCACUCGUUACCUUGCGGUAUGUGGUGACUUUAUUGACAGAAGAGGAUCUUUGGCGAUGAAUUAGAGAGGUUAUAUUUGACUUAACGCUCUCCUUUCAAAAACACAUUAGGAAUAUAGUGCCAUAAAAAAGUAUUGGCCCCCUUCUCAAAAUUUUAUAUUAUUGCAUAGUUUCCCCACUUGAAUUAAGAUCAUCAAACAAAUGUAAAUAGACAAAUGAAACCCAAGUGGACUUAAAAUGCUGUUUUUAAAUGGCGAUUUCAUUUAUUAAGGAAAAAACACUCUUCAAAGUUAACUGGCUCUGUGUGAAAAAGUAAUGGCCCCCUAAACCUAACAACUAAUAGACCCAUCCUCAGCAGCAACAACUGAAAUAAUUUGUUUUCUAUAACUGCCAAUGAGUCUUUCACAUCUUUGUGGAGAUAUUCUGGCCCACUCUUCCUUGCAGAAUUGUUUGAAUUCAGCAAAAAUGGAGGGUUUUCGAGCAUAAAUGGCCUUUUAAAGGUCAUGCCACUGUAUUUCAAUCAGAUUCAAGUCUGGACUUUGACUAGCCCACUCCAAAACCUCCAUUAUUUUUUCACAAAGGGCCAGGUAACUUUUUUCCCCCCUUAAUAAAUUAAAUUACCAUUUAAUAACAGCAUUUCAAGCUCACUUGCGCUAUAUUUGUGUGACAUUUACAUUAGUUUGAGGAUCUUAAAGUCUUAAAGCGGGGGAAUUGCAAAAAUAUAAGAAUUUGAGAAGGGCACUGUACGGCACUUUGAUUCAGGCUGCAACUGCGUCCACCAGUACAAGGUUGAUACCCUGUGCAGUACUGUUUUGGAGCCUGGAUGGCGCUUUGCGCCUUCUCUCUCCCCUCCCCUCUCUGUUUCAGCUUCUCCUCAAGCCACGCACCUGUCUCCAAUCAACCCUCAUCACCACCUACAUUUAAACCUGACUGUUCCCGGAAAUCCUCGCCAAAGUACUGCAGCUUGUCCUAGCGUUACCACGGCCCACUGUACUCAUGAGAAAGGACUAGGUGAUGUUGACCGAAUCUGAGGCUGUUGCUGUUUGGGUUCUGCACCGAUCAACUGAGACAAGAUCUGAGGUGAACCACUUCCCCCGGAGUCGUGACCACGAAGUAUUCUGUUCUGACCGACCGGGCCGGGUCCUGAGGCAGAACCACUGAAGGAGUCUAGCCUGCGGCGCCAUUUCUCUUUCAAUUGACUCUCAUGCCAUUUUAAAUGAAUGUUAUACAACAUCUUGCCAUUGUAAUGAACAUUGUACAGCACCAGACUAUGUGAUAAAAUGUUGCCCACGUGACAUCCAUUUUAGUCUGGUCACCCUGGAAGAGGUAUGCCCCCCCCCCCCAUCUGCGGUCCCUUCUCAAAGCUUCUUUUAUCCCCCCCAAAUGGGGUUUUGAGUUUUUCCUUGCCCGACUGGGGGGGUUCCUUGCCCGACUGGAGGGGUUUAGAUUACGGGAUGUCAUCAAUCAUUGCCAACUGUGGGCCUGUGAAGCUCUUUGAAACUUUUGUAAUUAAGGGCUACACACAUAAACUUGACUUGACUUACUUACUCCUGCAAGUGACUUCUGAAUGUUCUCCCGGGCGCGUGCGAUGUCUUGAAGGAUGGCGUUAGCUCCCGCAUCCUUAAGAUAAACAAGAGAUACUUUUGAUUAAUGUUGUAUGGACUAAUUGGUUACACUACCACCUUUGGUUUAGCAGUGACAGAAGCAUGAAGAACACAAUUCUGACUGGUGAUGGCAAGAUAACGAUAUAUUGCUUCUAGGUAAUACUGAUUGCAAAUUUUUAAUGUGGAUUUGCUUCCUGAGUGCUAUCAUUAUGUGCAGGGCUUGAUUCGGACGGUGGCCAAUUAGCCAAAUGCGUGUACAUUUCAACGGUGGCAGGUAACACAGCCACUCGUACCAGCCACUUUGAAGUUUUACAUUUUAUAUGUGCAUUUAAUUGUUGUUUUCUUAAACGGCAUCUGUAAUAAUAAACCAAUUGCAAUGUGAGACUAGUACACUACAAAUCCCAUCAGCCCUGCCUGCAAACAGUGUUUGCUCAUUG